rnacentral:rRNA from 1 species
UACGGGGGUGGCGAGCGUUGUUCGGAUUUACUGGGCGUACAGGGAGCGUAGGCGGUUGGAUAAGAGCCCUCCGUGAAAUCUCCAGGCUUAACCUGGAAAGUGCAGAGGGGACUGUUCAGCUAGAGGAUGGGAGAGGAGCGCGGAAUUACCCGGUGUAGCGGUGAAAUGCGUAGAGAGUCGGGAGGAAGGCCGGUGGCGAAGGCGGCGCUCUGGAACAUUUCUGACGGCUGAGGCUC